rnacentral:rRNA from 1 species
UACGGAGGGUGCAAACGUUGCUCGGAAUCAUUGGGCGUAAAGCGCACGUAGGCGGCCUGUUAAGUCGGGUGUGAAAGCCCUGGGCUCAACCCAGGAAGUGCACACGAAACUGGCAGGGCUUGAAUAUGGAAGAGGGUCGCGGAAUUCCCGGUGUAGAGGUGAAAUUCGUAGAUAUCGGGAGGAACACCAGUGGCGAAGGCGGCGACCUGGGCCAAUAUUGACGCUGAG